AUUGAACGCUGGCGGCAUGCUUUACACAUGCAAGUCGAACGAGUGGCGAACGGGGGAGUAAUAUAUCGGAACGUACCGAGUAAUGGGGGUUACCCAAUCAAAAGAUUGGCUAAUACCGCUUACUAUUCGAGCGGCCGAUAAGGGUUUAGCUAGUUGGUGGGGUAAAGGCCUACCAAGGGGACGACCAGUAGCGGGUCUGGAAGGACGAUCCGCCACACUGGGACUGAGACACGGCCCAGACUCCUACGGGAGGCAGCAGUGGGGAAUUUUGGACAAUGGGGGCAACCCUGAUCCAGCCAUGCCGCGUGUAUGAAGAAGGCCUUCGGGUUGUAAAGUACUUUUGUUGGGGAAGCGGUACCUAAAGAAUAAGCACCGGCUAACUACGUGCCAGCAGCCGCGGUAAUUC
rnacentral:rRNA from 1 species